CGGAAGAUGAGUGGAGUAAUGGGGGCAGUGGAGACCUGGUGGACCUCGAUGAGAGAAGCGUGCACGGAGGUAAGGCCUGGGUGUUGUCUGGGUCUGGUUUUCUACACGGUGAGCCCCAGAAGACAGGAACCUGAAGCAUCAAAUCUUUAGACUGACGGAGCCCUGUGUCCUACCUUCUCUCACCAUGCAGAGAGAUGUUGCAGUUCUGAUGAGCUGUGGCAAUACACUGGUCCUUGAGUAUGCCUGGAAUGGUAAGGUCCAACUGAAACCAAUGCAGUUUGGUUCUCCAAACACCAGGUCUCACUCUGUAACAUAAGCACUGAGGGGUGGCAGGGUUGUGGACAGUUGGACUGGUUUUAGAUGAUUGGGGCUGACAUUACCUAGUCAGAAUGGCUGAGAUGCUAGCAGCGGGGUUGUAUCUACCUGCCUGAGGGCAUCAGUAGAUUCCCAGGGUUCUUGUUUUGCUGAACACACUUAGAAGCCC
rnacentral:lncRNA from 1 species